GACGAACGCUGGCGGCGUGCUUAACACAUGCAAGUCGAACGGAAAGGCCCUGCUUUUGUGGGGUGCUCGAGUGGCGAACGGGUGAGUAACACGUGAGUAACCUGCCCUUGACUUUGGGAUAACUUCAGGAAACUGGGGCUAAUACCGGAUAGGAGCUCCUGCUGCAUGGUGGGGGUUGGAAAGUUUCGGCGGUUGGGGAUGGACUCGCGGCUUAUCAGCUUGUUGGUGGGGUAGUGGCUUACCAAGGCUUUGACGGGUAGCCGGCCUGAGAGGGUGACCGGCCACAUGGGGACUGAGAUACGGACCAGACUCCUACGGGAGGCAGCAGUGGAGAAUAUUGCACAAUGGGCGGAAGCCUGAUGCAGCGACGCCGCGUGCGGGAUGACGGCCUUCGGGUUGUAAACCGCUUUCGCCUGUGACGAAGCGUGAGUGACGGUAAUGGGUAAAGAAGCACCGGCUAACUACGUG
rnacentral:rRNA from 1 species